CUAAGAUCCUUAUAUUCCAUGACAAUUAUGCCAGAGGCACAUUUGGCUAAACUCACUGAACCACAAAGUCCUCUCAAGGACUGGUUUUCCUAUUUCAAAGCCUUAUUAAAUAAUUUUAGGUGAAAUAAAGUUUUCAGAAUGAAUUUAACUUUGCAACUAAGAACAACUAUAGCCAUAUGACCAGCUGAAUUCACAUAGAAUGAGGGGAAACAUUUGACUAAUGUAACUAACCACUUUUAUGAGAAGAUUUCUUUCCCUAUUUAUCUGGUACAACCCAAGAGUCCGAGAUUAACAAAUUUAACAAAACUUCCUAUGUAUAAAAAAUUGGCAGCAUCUUGAGGGAAUUGGGCACAGUUCUCCCAGUGGUACACGAUCUGACACACUCUUCCCAAGGUAGAAAUGUGGUGCUAUCUCUGAUAGAGUAAAAAAAAAAAAGAAAGAAAGAAAAUUAUACAGAUAUAGGAACCAAAAGAUGAACAGUAGAUUGGCAACCUUAGGGUCCACUGAAUUAAAAUUUCUGAUUCUAGGGGAGAAGGGAAGGCACUUCUGUCAGGAGAUGCAAGAAGAAUUCUGAAGCAGUAACCAACAGGAGAAUAAUGGGAGAGGGUCCUGUAAACUGACCCCUCACCAUGAGGACUCAUGGCAGCUCCUACACAAGAGACAGUGUACAGAGAACCCAGGGGAUGGGACUGAGGCUGCCAUGCCCACUGACAACCAUAAAUGGACAACUAUCGCAACACAGCCCAGAAAGCAUAAAGUAACCACAGGCGCUGAUCCCUUCGGGAGGAAAAGUCUGGGUCACUCCACCAGGAAAAUGCCUCAGCCUGUUGAAGGGGGCUGGCUGAAGCUCCUCAUGGAUCAACGCUACUACAAAUGGAAUGAAUAAACACAGUUCUGCUUUUCCUGCCAAACGAAAACUUCCUUCCCUAAGACCUACUGCAGCCACCCAGAAAUAAAACAAGUGGCUUGGCUGGCCACUUGCAUAAACCGCAGAAGAAAAACCAGUGCCACUUACAUAACACCAUGGGGGAAAAGCUCUGUUGAUUCUGUUUAAUUCUUAGUAAAUCAUGAAAUAAUAAAACACCUGUAAUUGUUUUCACCCUUUGAAA